UCUCACAGCCGUUCUGUUGGAGUCCCUGAUGUUUUGAUCUUCAACAACAAUCGCCUCUUCCAGUUCUUCCUCAAGACCAAUUCAUCUGCAACUGCUGGGUUUACCCAGCUACCGAUUAAUACAAGACGAGCUCAAAUCUCUGCAAUGGCGGCUUGCACUGUGAAUGUGCUCAGGUGACUGGCUCCAGCGACUCUGCUUCAUCGACGUGCUGCGUGGUGCUCAGCUUUGGAAGAAGGCUAUGCUCAUCUAUUUGAAGAGAAGUGUAUAUGAGAAGUAUAUAGAAUAUUACUACCUCUUUAUAUAAGUUUCAGAAAGUCUUGAUCCCAGUUUUGCAAGAGACAGGUAGGUUACACAAGGCAAUCUCAUCUGAUGUUGGAUGAUUUCAUUAAGAUUGAAAAUGAAUACGGAAAUAUUGAAGGGAAGUUUGGGCAGAAAGGAAAGGACUAUGUUAAGUGGGAAGCAAAGAUGGCUUUAAGCCUUGGUGCUGGGGUUCCAUGGGUGAUGUGCAGGCAAACUGAUGCUCCGGAUGAAGUUGUAAGAUAGAUGCAUGCAAUGGAUACUGCUGUGACGGUUAUAGGCCAAAUUCCUAUAACAAACCCACACUUU